rnacentral:lncRNA from 1 species
UUGAGAAUGAAGCUCAGCUGAAGUUUGAACAGCAUACUGACAUAUACCAACAAGAAUGAAAAUAACUUAACAGCAAUUUUAUAAAUUCACAUCCCCCAGAGCACCACAGAGUAAAGAAAUACUGCAUAUGGGUAACAACUGGUUCUUAGUUACUAAAUCUGAAAGAUCAAAUACAGUUAAUUACAUAAGCUUCUCUUGAGUUUUUCUGGGGGAAUAUACCAGGAGACCAUAAUCAAGCAUCACCAGUGGCAUUUCAUACUGGUCCCAUGGUGUUAAUCCAGGUUUCUGGUAUUGCACUAAACACGAUGAAAAACAGGAGAGAACGGAGAGGGAUCAUGUUUUACCACAAUAUGCAAUUUAUGGGAGAGAUGAAGCGCUCAGGUGGAGAUGACUAGUGUCACGUGGUGUUUUAAGUGGAUACUCACAACGCUGGAACUCACAGCAAUAACAACAAGAGGUGAGAUUAAUAUUUACUCAGUGAACUUUGAGUAAAGCAUUGGGUGCUUCAUUAUGUGGAGGAGUCUCAUCCAAUCAGUUGAAGGUGACUGAAUGGAACUAUAGAUCGACCUCACAUAAAUGAGAGGGAAUUCUGCAACAGAUCAUCUUUGCCUUUGAACUGCAGCAUGGACUCCCCUCUGGGUCUCCUGCCUGCCAGCCCACCCUGCAGAGUGCAUUUGCCAGCCUCCACAAUCAGGUAAUUUAUCCUGUGCAUUAACAAGAGGAAGUCUAGAGCCAUGGAAACCAAGUCAGGAAACUUCUCUCUUAUUAUUAGGUCCACUGCAAAUCUAGUUGAGACUGCAAAUCGAGGUUUUUCUCAGGGGAAGCCGAGCUCCAGACUAUUCAUUUGUCCUGAGGCAGCCACUUGAAACACAAUCAUUUUGUAUUUCUACGAUGUUUUGACCUUUUAUCCAAGUCAGCCCUAUAGAAUGGGCCAGGAGGUUGCUGCCACUGAAUAAGCCACUGUGAUUUUUAGCGUCAAGAAUUUUGCUGUUAACUAUGGCAGAAAAAUAGACAGAGGACAAUAAAAA